AAUCACUACCUGCGCGCGGGUGCCCUUGAUCCAAGGGUGAAAAGGGAACCGGGUGCGAAUCCCGGACGGCCCCGCCACUGUGUUGGGGAGCGGCUUCCAGGAGGCCACUGACCGGCAGUCAGUUUUGUUCUGUUGUACCGCGUGGAGCAUGCCAGAGGGUAGAAAGCGUAGCGAAGGCAUGCGUCCUUAGCGCCUUGAAUACAGUUGAGUGCUGGUUGGGAAGGCGGAAGUUCGCAAUGAACCUGAGUCAGGAGACCUGCCCGCGCGCCGACGCACGA
rnacentral:ncRNA from 2 species